GAUGAACGCUGGCGGCGUGCCUAAUACAUGCAAGUCGAGCGAACAGACGAGGAGCUUGCUCCUCUGACGUUAGCGGCGGACGGGUGAGUAACACGUGGAUAACCUACCUAUAAGACUGGGAUAACUUCGGGAAACCGGAGCUAAUACCGGAUAAUAUAUUGAACCGCAUGGUUCAAUAGUGAAAGACGGUUUUGCUGUCACUUAUAGAUGGAUCCGCGCCGCAUUAGCUAGUUGGUAAGGUAACGGCUUACCAAGGCAACGAUGCGUAGCCGACCUGAGAGGGUGAUCGGUAACCCUGGAGAGAGGACGAGGGCCCGACUCCUGAGGGAGGCAGCGGUAGGGAUUCUACGGCAAUGGGCAGAAGGUUAAAGAAGGAACGCGGCGUGAGAGAUGAAGAUCUUCGCAUCGUGAAGCACUAUUAUUUGGGAAUAACAAAUGUGUAAGUACCUAGACACGUCUUGACGGUACCGAAACAAAAAGCACCGGCUAACUACGUG
rnacentral:rRNA from 1 species